rnacentral:tRNA from 1 species
GGGUCGUUAGCUCAGCUGGUAGAGCAGCGGACUUUUAAUCCGUUGGUCACUGGUUCGAAUCCAGUACGCCCCA